rnacentral:misc_RNA from 1 species
GAUGAAGAACGCAGCGAAAUGCGAUAAGUAAUGUGAAUUGCAGAAUUCAGUGAAUCAUCGAAUCUUUGAACGCACCUUGCACCCUUUGGCAUUCCGAAGGGUAUGCUCGUUUGAGUGUCAUUGUACUCUCACUCUCCCGAUGCUUUUGGAUCGGGAGUGGUGGACUUGGGUGUUGCUGCUUUGCUGUGGCUCGCCUCAAAUGGAGUAGUGCAACUCUUGGUUGGACAUAGUACGGCGUGAUAAGUGUCUUCGCCGGCGCCUCAUUAUAGAGGGUGGCCGAUCGGGAGCUCUGUGCUUCAAACCGUCUUCGGACAACAUCUGACAACUUGACCUCAAAUCGAGUAGGACUACCCGCUGAACUUAAGCAUCUCAAUAAGCGGAGGA